GUGCUUACUUUGGCAGCACAUAUACUAAAAUUGGAACGAUACAGAGAAGAUUAGCAUGGGCCCUGCACAAGGAUGACAUGCAGAUUCGUGAAGCAUUCUAUAUUUUU
rnacentral:snRNA from 1 species